rnacentral:rRNA from 1 species
UACGUAGGGUGCAAGCGUUAAUCGGAAUUACUGGGCGUAAAGCGUGCGCAGGCGGUUUUUGUAAGUCUGUCGUGAAAGCCCCGGGCUCAACCUGGGAAUUGCGAUGGAGACUGCAAGGCUUGAAUCUGGCAGAGGGGGGGUAGAAUUCCACGUGUAGCAGUGAAAUGCGUAGAGAUGUGGAGGAACACCGAUGGCGAAGGCAGCCCCCCUGGGUCAAGAUUGACGCUCAUGCACGAAAGCGUGGGGAGCAAACAGG